GACGAACCGUGCGAACGUUGUUCGGAAUCACUGGCUUAAAGGGCGCGUAGGCGGCUUGCCAAGUCAGUGGUGAAAUCCCACAGCUUAACUGUGGAAGUGCCUUUGAUACUGGCGAGCUCGAGGGAGGUAGGGGUAUGUGGAACUUCUGGUGGAGCGGUGAAAUGCGUUGAUAUCAGAAGGAACGCCGGUGGCGAAAGCGACGUACUGGACCUCUUCUGACGCUGAGGAGCGAAAGCCAGGGGAGCAAACGGG
rnacentral:rRNA from 1 species